rnacentral:misc_RNA from 1 species
GAUGAAGAACGUAGCGAAAUGCGAUAAGUAGUGUGAAUUGCAGAAUUCAGUGAUUCAUCGAAUCUUUGAACGCACAUUGCGCCCUUUGGUAUUCCAAAGGGCAUGCCUGUUCGAGCGUCAUUUGUACCCUCAAGCUUUGCUUGGUGUUGGGCGUCUUGUCUCUAGCUUUGCUGGAGACUCGCCUUAAAGUAAUUGGCAGCCGGCCCACUGGUUUCGGAGCGCAGCACAAGUCGCACUCUCUAUCAGCAAAGGUCUAGCAUCCAUUAAGCCUUUUUUUCAACUUUUGACCUCGGAUCAGGUAGGGAUACCCGCUGAACUUAAGCAUAUCAAUAAGCGGAGGA